ACAGGGAUUGCCCUAGUAACGGCGAGUGAAGCGGCAACAGCUCAAAUUUGAAAUCUGGCGUCUUUGGCGUCCGAGUUGUAAUUUGCAGAGGGCGCUUUGGCAUUGGCAGCGGUCCAAGUUCCUUGGAACAGGACGUCACAGAGGGUGAGAAUCCCGUACGUGGUCGCUAGCCUUUACCGUGUAAAGCCCCUUCGACGAGUCGAGUUGUUUGGGAAUGCAGCUCUAAAUGGGAGGUAAAUUUCUUCUAAAGCUAAAUACUGGCCAGAGACCGAUAGCGCACAAGUAGAGUGAUCGAAAGAUGAAAAGCACUUUGGAAAGAGAGUUAAAAAGCACGUGAAAUUGUUGAAAGGGAAGCGCUUGCAGCCAGACUUGCCUGUAGUUGCUCAUCCGGGUUUUUACCCGGUGCACUCUUCUAUAGGCAGGCCAGCAUCAGUUUGGGCGGUUGGAUAAAGGUCUCUGUCAUGUACCUCCUUUCGGGGAGAACUUAUAGGGGAGACGACAUGCAACCAGCCUGGACUGAGGUCCGCGCAUCUGCUAGGAUGCUGGCGUAAUGGCUGUAAGCGGCCCGUCUUGAAACACGGACCAAGGAGUCUAACAUCUAUGCGAGUGUUUGGGUGUCAAGCCCGAACGCGUAAUGAAAGUGAACGGAGGUGGGAACCUUUCGGGGUGCACCAUCGACCGAUCCUGAUGUCUUCGGAUGGAUUUGAGUAAGAGCAUAGCUGUUGGGACCCGAAAGAUGGUGAACUAUGCUUGAAUAGGGUGAAGCCAGAGGAAACUCUGGUGGAGGCUCGCAGCGGUUCUGACGUGCAAAUCGAUCGUCAAAUUUGGGCAUAGGGGCGAAAGACUAAUCGAACUAUCUAGUAGCUGGUUCCUGCCGAAGUUUCCCUCAGGAUAGCAGUAACGUUUUCAGUUUUAUGAGGUAAAGCGAAUGAUUAGAGGCCUGGGGGUUGAAACAACCUU
rnacentral:rRNA from 1 species